rnacentral:rRNA from 1 species
AUGUUAACUAUCUCCCAUACCUCUCAUGAGUUUAUGGAAGACUUGAAGGAGGCAGAUUUGUGUGCUGCACUUGUUGUAAAAGGAGAAGAGCACCUGAUUGUUCAAAUUCUAGCAAAGAUAUGUGGUUUAUUGGUAGAAUUUCAUAACAUACUUAGUGAGCCACAAGGCUUGCCACCGAUGAGAGGAAUUCAAUAUAGAAUUGACUUAAUUCAGGGAGCAAGUCUUCCUAAUCUUCCACACUAUCGAAUGAGCCCAAAGGAGCAUGAUAUAUUGAAGGAGAAAGUGGAGGAAUUGCUGCAAAAGGGGCACAUUUGA